rnacentral:tRNA from 1 species
GGGGCGGUAGCUCAGUGGAUAGAGUGGAAGAUUGCAAUUAACCUGAUUGGUUGCUACAAUUGCAGACUAUCUUUAGGUCGCCGGUUCAAUCCCGGCCCGUCCCU